rnacentral:rRNA from 1 species
GACGUAGGGCGCGAGCGUUGUCCGGAUUUAUUGGGCGUAAAGAGCUCGUAGGCGGCUUGUCGCGUCGUCCGUGAAAACUUGGGGCUCAACCCCAAGCUUGCGGUCGAUACGGGCAGGCUCGAGUUCGGUAGGGGAGACUGGAAUUCCUGGUGUAGCGGUGAAAUGCGCAGAUAUCAGGAGGAACACCGGUGGCGAAGGCGGGUCUCUGGGCAACAACUGACGCUGAGGAGCGAAAGCGUGGGGAGCGAACAGG